CCGCUACGAGCGGCGAGAGUUCCACAGCCCGAUGGAACGUCCGCUUCUGCCCGCCUCCGGAAGCGCGAGCGAACGAGCGUACCACGCGUGUACGUGGAUCACCGCGGAUUCUCGCUGCUGUGCCGCCGCCAACCGGACGCAUUCGUUGGAUUCUGUCGACCGGUCAUCGAGUUCCCGAGUCGUUUCGUUCGAAGCAGCUGAACCCGGUUACGAUCGGUUUUAGAUUAGGGAGAAGCUUAGAAUUUCCAGAGCAAUUUCAAGGUUUGGAAUGCUUUGGCAUUGGGAUAGGGAAACUUGGGACUGAUGACAAUUCGGAUUCGAGGGCGGAAUAGAAGGAGAAGAUUAAAGGAUACGGUCAGCUUAGAAAAUUCUGCACGCGCAAUGCGGAUUUCGAUCGCCACGCUGGUCGAAACGGCGAAACUCGACCGGGACUCGACCCAGAUCCUGUGCCCGAAAACCGGAGUACAAUCAGCAGCGAGUAACGGGGAGUUGAAACGGCGGUACUCGAAAAUUCAACGCGCUGCAGGCAUUCGAAACGAGCCAUAUGGGUAAACCGAGCUACCAACGGUAGCUUUCCAUUGUGUGCAAUGCGACAACAAUAUAAUAAAAAUAAUUUCCCGGAGGCAGAAACGUCGCCAGGGUAUUAGCGAGCUAAUGAAACGUGAGUUGGAGCCUAGCGUCUGGUGUCGCGUUUCCGGAAGACGGGAGGGGACGACUACCUUUCGGACGGAAGCCCGGGGAACGCGGUUACGAAAGCAAAGGGGACGGAGCAGAGAAAGAACACGAAUAAAAGAAAGACAGAAAGGAGAAACCCGAUCAAUUUAUUUAUUAAACGUUUUUCAUGCUUUUGUCGUAGCCUGUCGUGUUCCCACGGGAAAUACGAGGCGCUUAAAAGAGUGCUCCCGAGUUUGGCGAAUCUUGUGCGGGAGGGAAUCGCCAGGACCGACAGGAUGCCGGCGGAUCAACCAAAGAUACCUACCCCUAAUGGAAUCACGACCGACCUACACGAAUUUGAGAAGAAACCAAUAUAUUUCGCGAGAUUCAUGGGAUUUUUGUUCUGUGUGUGUACGAUCAACUCGAUUGUCUCGAAUUACAUACAAUGGCUACGGCAAAUACUGUCACACAUCCUUAAUUGCCAACCAAACAUUUACUUCGAAGGUUCUACGUUUAAUUUUUCAAUUUUGGAGAAUCUGUUUGAUUUUGAAUAGUUUCGAGGAAAUUGUUCGUUUCUCGUUAAAGUUCAGAGAAGGAAGAAUGUUUCUAAAAGUUUCGAAUUGGCAGUUAAUAUGGAUGUAGGACUAUAAAAAAUUAGUUACUCAAGAUAUUCCUCGAAAGUGAAACUAAACAGAAAUACUUCAUUCGAUUACUCGAGCGGCAUAAGUAGAAAUCACAGCGACGCUUAACGACCACAAAUCGAAACGAGGCAAUGUCGUAACGCGUUUUCGUGCUUUUAGUGUCGAAAAACGGUCCCAUUCGAACGAAAAUAAUCUUAUUACCCAUAAAAACAACGUUUGAAGCGAUCGUAAAGAACGAGACGGUAGCCGUAAAAAUAAAAAAAAAAAAAAAGAAAAUGAGAAAACGACGAAGAAAACAAGAAGGGAGUCUACUCUAGGCGGAGGACGCUAUCUCUUCCGCCCUUACAUAACGCAAGGAUUCUAAAGGAUGAGAUUCGAGACGAACCUGCGUCUCCUUUCGAAUUUACGACCAGAGCGACUUUUAUGCCACAGAUUUGUCCUACAACUUAUCGAUUCCAUUAAGCACUAUUAGCAAGCCGAAGCAACUUGGCAUCGAGAGGUAGACCUCGAGCGGUCAACAGGCUCUCGACAUCGCUUACCUGUUCGUCCGGUUCGCCUCGAGUGGAUUCAUUUGUUUUAGGAACGAUGAGGAUGACGGAGAUUCGGGCGUUGAGAUAAAGGAGUCGAUUCGAAGGCCUCCAGGAUCUAUCUUCGAAUAUUUCGAAUUUGUUUUCCAUGAAAGAUGACUCUGCUCUUUCAUCUUAUACGGCACGCUCGAUUUCAUUCGACUUAUCGUUUGGAAGAUAAUGGACGUUCGUCAGAGACGAAAUAUGCACAGAAUACGUUUUCGUUGAAUAUCUUCUCGAUGAUGUAAUGUUUAACUUUAUUAUCUGACCAGUUAGUCGCUUUAAUUAUUAUACCAAAUUCUAUUUUUCUUAUUCUUUUUUAUUACAUUUAGAUAAUAGGUAGAGAUAGAAAUAAUAAUUGAAGAUGGAAAUAAUAAGCGAAGAUAGAGACAAUAAGUGGAGUUGAUCAGUUUGGCUUGUGACUUAUAUAUUUCAUUAUUCUGAAAUGCUUGUUAGAACUCGCUUUUGGUCUGUAGAACACAUUCAUUCUAACCACAGCCUUAGUCACAAAUAUCGCAGAAAAUUAGCCAAACUCAACAAUUCACGUUUUAUAACCAAGGUCUAAUACAUUUUGAAUAAUAAAACGCGUAACAUUUUCUUCCUUUUCAACAAUUUCCAACUAGUAUUCAUCUUUCCCUUUCCGUUUGAUAUCUCGAGGAAGCCCUCGAGACAGCCUCCUCACCCGAGCUCCUCCACGUUCAGAGUCCUUUUUUCCAUUUUUCCCCUCCACUUUUCUUCCUUUCUUUCUUUUCUUCCCCUUUUAAUCCGCCCGCGCGUUGCCUCUCCUCCUUUUUCUUACGAGAAAUGGGACAGGCUCAGAUUUCACCGGUGGACUCUCGAGGAGACUCGCGUCGUAACUCUAGACAGGCAGCGUCUAUUUUCCUCGGGAAAAUUAAUGGUGCCGCUGACAAGCCGCGUAAAAAAAUACGACCGUUCGUCGUAUACAUCGAUUUCCUCGAUGCGACCUCGCAAUUUCGUCGGUGACUCGCAUCACGCUUUUUCCUUCCCACCGUCGAACUCCACUUCGUGGCUCGGCGCUUCGUUUCUUCUCUUCCAAACGCCGCGUGAUCGAUCGUUUGUCUCCUGUUACGCGAAACCACGGUUUCGUCGACCGGUUCCGUGGACUUCGAAUCUUUAAAAGAUGGUCAGUCGUGGAGUUUCUCUCGAUUUUUCGGCAAUGGAAUUUCGAAGCAGGCUACGAAGGUUAUCGCUAACGCGGUUGGUCACUUAGGACUAUCUCUCCGCAGAAAAUCGGACACUUUGAUCUCUAAGUAGAGUGAUGCCAGAUUCUGGUGCAUUUGAGGGAAGAA